rnacentral:rRNA from 1 species
AGGACGAACGCUGGCGGCGUGCUUAACACAUGCAAGUCGAACGAUGAACUUCCUUCGGGAGGGGAUUAGUGGCGAACGGGUGAGUAACACGUGGGCAAUCUGCCCUUCACUCUGGGACAAGCCCUGGAAACGGGGUCUAAUACCGGAUAUGACACGGGGUCGCAUGAUCUCCGUGUGGAAAGCUCCGGCGGUGAAGGAUGAGCCCGCGGCCUAUCAGCUUGUUGGUGGGGUGAUGGCCUACCAAGGCGACGACGGGUA